GUGCUGGUCUGGAAAAGAAGACCUAAAUAGCUCCCUAUUGCUCAGCAGAAAAUCUCAGCUGGGAAGGGAGAAGCGCUGAAGAAAAGGAUCUCUUCAGAGCAAAUGGGAGAAAAGAAAACUAGUUCUCACCUUUUGAAUGCUGCCAGCUUCUCCAGGUCUUCCUCAUCACUGAACUUUGGGUCACAGAGAAAUGCUUUACUGAUCUCCUCCAGACUUCAUAUAGAUAUGAAGCCAUGUUUAAAGUCAUCAAGCA